AAUGGGGCGCUUGUUUACAUCUAUGAGCGAUUUUCUUGUUUUGUCGCAAUGCGUCGUUCGUUUGCUGUGAAUAAACAGCAAUAUGGAACUAAACUUUAUAACAGUAAAAAACUCAUCGCAGUUGGCUCAGACACAAACUUUGUUGAAUGAACCGAAUGUCUUCAUGUGAGUAGAGGGCAGCAUUACAUCGGUACAAUUUUGGCCUAGUGACUACCCCGAAUGUUUUCCAGGAUGGGACUAUAUAACAGAAAUAUUCAUCACGAUCUUGCAAGAGUGCUUCAGUACACCUACUACUGCCUCAAAAAUAUUCACUGUUUAACAGAGGAAAGAAAGUCAUGCAGGUUCUUCAUAAUCCAUCAUCAAUUGAUGCUUGUUUAAAGAGACAUGCUGAGUCUCCCACAUCAGCAUUUUACCUCCUGGAAUCGCAGCCAAUUUGUUGAUUUAAGUCACACACUGAGUGGAGAUUGAUGGCUCUGGAACUGCAGGACUCCUUAUCGAUUGAUCACACAGCCUGUAGAUAUGUGCUCUACCGAAUCGAUCAUCAUUGUAAAGUGUGUCCAU